rnacentral:lncRNA from 1 species
CUCCACUUGCCUUUUGUUGAAUAUUAUUAAACUAUUAUGGGAUGAAUCUUACUGAAUAAAUAUAAAAUAAUUAUACAACUCUGAGGGAUUAAGUUAAUUCUAGGAGCACAUUUUUAAGAUGAAAUCUUCAAAUUUUAAUAUUAAUCGUCUCGUUUAGAAGUAUGUAUCAUUAAAGAUUAGAGUUUUCAUUUCUUUAGAUUUUGUCUUUAACAUGUCCCUCAAGUGCCUGAUAAAUUUGAUCUUAUUAAUGUCGUAGUGUCCAUAUUUAUUUUAUUGGGGGGUUUCCCGUGGUUAAAUAUUGAAAUGUAGCCCUCUCAUAAACGUGGGUCCCACGACUAUUUCCUCCUAUAUUUGAGAGGCUGUCAACCAUACUGUCAAAUAUGUUAUACGUGUAGCACUUUUUUGUCUUUUAAAAGUUGAAUCCCAACUUUAAGGGCAUCCACUGUCCUGCUCUUGGAGUGUCGAAAGAGAGAUAAAUCGUGGGAUAUGUCCCAAUAGGUGAGGGAAUAAGAGUUUGUUUAUACAUUGGUGCUCAUAAAAAAUCCAAUUUCAUAUCUCAUGGAUCGAAUCCUUAUACUGUUGAGAUUACCUCAGGGUUAUGCCUCGAGGCGCACUUUUUCGUCUUUUAAUAGGUCUAACGAAGGUUUAGGAAGAAUAAUCAUAUUUUUGACAUUGUUUACUAUGAAACUUACCAAAAGAAUUCCACUUUCAAUAAAUUUUUGACUUGUCAACGAAUACGUCAAGGAUUUAUUUUCACAAGACUUUAAACUAGUCGUACUUAGAUAUUAUAUUGAACUAACCAAUCGAAAAUAAAUAAAUAAAUGUUAGAAAAGACGCAUUUAUUUAUUUAAAUAUAAUUUUCAAUAUUUCAAAGAUUUUUGUAUUUUAUAAUUGUUGUAAUUAUUUGUAGUCUUCGGAGGACGAUGGGCAAGGUGGAAGGAGAAAGAAGGGACUCAAGGACAAAAUAGAAGACAAGUUAACCGGUAGCAAUAAGGAAGAUCAAACUUACAAUUUGGCUUCGAAGAAUACCACUCCAGCAGGUUAUGAAGCUACCGGAGAACGUGGCGAGGAGAAGAAGGGAAUGAUGGAUAAGAUCAUGGACAAACUGCCCGGCCGCAAUAAUUAAUAAUAUAUAUGUAAACAAAAUAAUAGUCCUUGAAUUAGUUCCUUCGAGAUGAAGUGAGAAACAGACCAUCGCAUGACUCUUUCGACUUGACGGAGCAUCAAUCAAUGUAUCAUUUAGUGCUUGUUUUUCCGUCUUUAAGUUACAUAAAAUGUUAUUGAAAUAAGCCAUGGCCUUGUUCCUACGAACAAAGCAUGUGCAUGUGUGCGUAUUUGCCAUAUUGUGAU